AUCCAGCUGACGAGUCCCAAAUAUGACGAAACCCACUUCCUGGAU
rfam:Schistosoma mansoni strain Puerto Rico chromosome 3, complete genome